GGGUUUGUGGCUCAGUGGUAGAGUGCUUGUCUAGCAUGCUUGAGGCACUGGGUUCAAUUCUCAGCACCA
rnacentral:tRNA from 1 species